UACGGGGGGAGCAAGCGUUGUUUGGAUUUACUGGGCGUAAAGGGUGCGUAGGCGGCGCAGAAAGUAGGGUGUGAAAUCCCUCGGCUCAACCGAGGAACUGCGCCCUAAACUACUGUGCUCGAGGGAGAUAGAGGUGAGCGGAACUUAGGGUGGAGCGGUGAAAUGCGUUGAUAUCCUAAGGAACACAGUGGCGAAGGCGGCUCACUGGACCGGUAUUGACGCUGAGGUGCGAAAGCGUGGGGAGCAAACAGG
rnacentral:rRNA from 1 species